GGCCCCGUGGCGGAAUGGUAGACGCAGCCGUCUUUAAAACGGAAACCGUGCAAGGUGUGUGGGUUCGAGUCCCACCGGGGUCA
rnacentral:tRNA from 1 species